UAACAGAGUGUGUCUGGCUUGUGUGAUACCCUUCUCAGGUCCUUUGCGACCUGAGGACUGUGCAUGGAUUGUGGGAGGAAGGUCUGAACUCAUGAUUGUCCUGACUUUGCCCUCUAGGUUGGUUCACGUUGGCUGGUGAUUCCACAGUUUUGCCAGCCAAGCAAAGUACUCCAUAGAUCUCAGUAAUUCUGGAAACAAGGUACCAUGACAUGCAUGCAGGUCAUCAUCAGGAAACCAGACAUCAGAGGAACUUCCAGGCAUGUAGAGAUCAUCAGCUGCCUGUCUCCAGAUGUACCCAUGAAACAUUAGAAGAACAAGUGGACACUGGAAGCACAGUAGGACCCCAGAGUGUCUGAUCUGAUCUACUUGUGUUUGUGUCCAAGAUGACUGGUGCUUACCAGUUUGGAGCCAGAAACAGAGCAAGGAGAGUGCAGGGAAUGUCCGUCUUGUACUCAUAAGCAAGGUAGAGUGGACAUGAACAGGAGCCAUGUGAAGCCAGAUCAUGUCAUGGUACCCCAGGGCAUCCGACAGCUUAAAAGGUAAAGUCCACCAACUAUGUUUUGAGUAGAGCCAAAGUGAAAUAUGAAGUGUUUAAUAGCUGAACCCAGAGCAGGACCUGUUUCCAAGCAUGAUCAUGGAUAAGAACCUGUUGUAAGAAAACAAGUAAGACCCUCUGGUCUGACAGCAGGGUUUUCCUUUGGGUAGUUUAUGGUCUCCUGCUAUCUUCUACCACCUAAGAAAACCUAGGGAAUUAAGUCAUCAAAUUCAUACUCCUCCUUAUGCCCACAUGCUAGUAUAUGCUGCCUUUCUUGUUUUCAACAGUAUCUCACAGGAUCAAAGCUGUUUUCUUUCUGAUGCCCCAUAGGGAUGUUGCUGCUAAUGCAGCUGUGUGUCCCCAGACAAGACUAGUGCCUUUGCUGCCUAAAUUGUCUUUUGCUGCAUCCCCAAAGGACUCCUAGGAACACACUCAACAAGGACAAAGUCUGAAAACAGUUUUGUCUGCAUGGUGAACAAUGCAGGAGGUACCCGCCAAGCCCUAACACAGUGGACUGAAGACGGCCACACAGGUUAUGCUUCCUUGCUCAUGCCACGGGGAAGGCAUGAUUGGCUAACACUCGGUAAUCUUACCAAACCCCUGUUUUCAGGUCUCAUUGAUGAAAGAGUGUCCUGCUGAUUGGUAGGGAAGUGGCACCGGAGACAGAGGUGGCAUCAGCAGCCCGGUGGACUGGGAGCAAGAAGAGAAGGAAAACAUGUUCUCAUCUCAGGAACACCCAGAACCUUACCAUGACCCUUUGUUGUGCAAGAAGAUUACAAGAGGCAACUUGGGGAACUUCCUCAUUGGGGCAAAGUUCCUCUCUCUCCAGCAGAGGUCAAGUGAACAGGGCAUUGUGUGUCCGAGUGAAUAUCAACCAUCGAGGAUAUCCAGAGAUCUCAGUUUAAGAUCUACUUAGGCAGAAGUGUCACCAAGAGUAUCAUAUGCUGGAACCUGGACACAAAUUGUAUGGUUUAAACAACUGGUAAUACACAGACUAUUUUUUUUUUAUCUACAGUAAACUUUUUG